GAAGAACUUUUAAUGGGUGAAACUCUAAUAACCGAGUCAGGUUCGGAAGAAAGCAGCUCAUAUUCGUUGUUUUAGGUCGUUUUUAAGUUCUUCCAC
rnacentral:SRP_RNA from 1 species